CCAUUUCUUUCUUCAUCUUCGGUUGACUUUUUUGUGUUCUCUUGUUCUUUUGUUUUCUUUGCCUUUUUCCUCUGUUGGACUGCUCUCUUCUUUUUUUCUUUGUUUUUGGUUUACUUGACAUUACUUUGCACCAAUCAAGUGUUGCAUUUGGGUAAUAUAUAGUUUUAUAUGCAGGAUAAGGUUUGAAAUACGGGUUUUAAGAAUUUAUAUUGAACUCUUACUUCAAAGAUGGAACAUACAAUUGAAAGUUUUGAAGCUCAGACAUGAAUAUUGAUGAUUGAGUCAGAUAUUUCUGUACCGGCAGAGACUAGAUAUAAAUGCUUGUUUGAUUGUUCAAUUUUUUCGGGAAUUUACAAGAUAAGCAUGAUUUUAAUUUUAGCGUGUUGAUUAGUUUCUUUUUCCUUUAAUAUUUGGGUUCUUCAUCGCCUUCUAUGUAUUCUUGUUGGAUUCUCUCGAUUAUUUUCAGUUUUAAGCUUCUUUUUUACUUUGGUCAAAUUGAUGGGAGUUGAAGAGGACAGGUAAGGUAAUUUAGAAAUUCAUAAUAUUGUAAGAAAUCUGUUACUGAUAAGUAUGAGUUUUCAUCUUUGUCAUAUUCUUAAAUGCCAAAAUUCAGUGUAAUUCUCUCUCACAUAUGACCAAUAUUUUGUUUUCUUUGCUUCAGUUUCUGGUCAUCGCUAUUUACUUCUCACUAGUCAGUUUGUCCUUAACCUCUGCUGUAUUUUUGAGUUCGGCAAGAUUUUUUUCUUUUUACAGUUAUUUUUUGGGUACUUUUCCUUUUGUAAUGGUAAUUUCUUUUACAACAUUCUUGUUCUUUAUGGAUAUCAUCUUAACUUAGUGUUGGACUCAAAAUGGUCAAGAAACAGUCAUUGAGUAGUACUCUUGUUUGGACUGAUGAUAAAUCGGUUCAUUUACUUUCCAUGUAUUUCCAAUUGAUCGGAUCCAAUCAAGACACUUCACAUUCUUGGGGGAGGACCAAGGCUUGAAGUUUCAUCAUGAAUGACUCUAGCUAUUGUUGGUUUCUGUUAUCCUAGCAUGCACUCUGAAAUCUAAAUAUCUUCCCCCUACGUUCUACACUAUUUAUGUUGUACAAAUUGCAGUGUUGAAAGAGGUUAGUCAAACAGCUAGCUUAGACCUUAUUAGGUAAUCAAAUAGAUGGAAUGAAAUAUUAUUUUUGUUAUGGAUUGAUGUAUACCUCUUUGAUAAUUUUUUCUUUGUCCUACUAACUAUCCUGGUAAUAGAAAAUUUACAUGCAGGUCCAGCUAUUUUUUUAAUUUUAUAAUGUUAGUGAAUGAUUCUGAUGUAUCUCUCAAAAGUUCUAUGUCAAUUCUUCAAUGCAAAAAAAAUCCAGAAACUACUGCGAGAAAUAAACUAAUGAUCGCAUGUAAAUUAUGACAUUUUCUCUUACAUAUCAAGCGGUUUUUUGCAGGAAAAUGAAGUCCCUACUAUCAUUUCCAACUUGAAUGCCCAACUCACUGAGUGGUUGGAAGCUGGAAAGCUACAAAGGGUGGCUCUUGUGAUAAUGAGCAAGGACGCUGGUGAGGUAUCAGAGAGGUGGAAGUUAGUACCGAAACUGAUAGCGAGGUUGAGGUAAGCUGAUUAGUACCAAAACUGAUAGCAAGAUUGAGGUAAGCCGAUUAUCAUUUUCUGAACUCUGGUAAAUUUUGUGGAUUGAAAAAACGUGUAUACUAGAGUUUUUUUUUGUAUGGCUGUAGAAAAUAUAGAAAUUUUCUAAUUUCUUUUAUGAGCUUAAAUGAGUGAAGAACCAUAUGUUCGACCCCAACUUGGUUGGAUCAUGCAGUAAUAGCUGUUAGAAAAAAUGUAUGUUGGAUUGUUCGUUCAUUAGCAUAACUUUUAUUUGGUUAGUGUUUCAAGAGAGAAAAGUGGAAAAGAGAUAAUGAGGGAUAUUCAAGCAAUUAUGAGACAAAAUAGCUUCCAGCAUCACUUAUCCUUUAUGCUUGGAAGCUGAGCACUGUAGUCAUGGAACAAAGGUAAUCAAAAUUACACCUUCAACUUACUCUUCCUUGCAUCUCUUUCAAGAAUAAAAACUGUAGUGUUGCACAUUUGAGCAAUGCUGAUCGACUUGUUGUCCUUGAAUCGUCUUAACCUGUAAUCUCUCUUCUCAAUUUAGUUUCUUGAGUGUUGAUCUAUUUGUGGGUGUCUGCAUGCGUUUUCUAUUUCUUCUUUUUCCUCUUUUCCCCAUCACCCUUUCGCCACAAUUUCUUGCUUCUUUUCAUUUUUCUUAAGUUGUCAAGCGAGGGGGCUUGUUUUCUUUAUGCUAUAAGGGGAAAUAUUAAAAACUUAGCAUGUAGUAAUAGGUGGAGAAAAGAUUCAAGCACUGUACUACUAUUCAAAUGCCUUACAUCAAACGCAUGUUUUAAAGCAGCUAAAUUCUGAGGACUACUUCGAUAUAUUAAAUCUUUUCUCAAUAAUCUAUACCAAGGUAGUGAAAGAAUAGAUUUAUAGACUUCUAGAGCCUAUUUAGGAUAGGCUGAUCCUCUUUUUCCUCUAAACCAAUUGAAUUUAUCUCAAGAAAGAAUUCUUAGGUAGGUCAGAGAUAAGUUUGGUAUACUGUCUUCCCUUCAUCAGCAGGCUGUAUAGUCGCAUAGCAAUUGUUCCACGAGAGUACUAUGGAAACCCGUUGCUCGAUUUAGGUGCUCAUCCUCUUAUAUUUUCAUUUAGUGUGUCUUCCUACUCUAAUUCUGAGAUAUCAAAACUAUGAAGGUCACAUAUUUUUAGGAUUGUUGUCAAUCCUUAAAGAGAACUGCAAGAAUUUGGUUUAGAAAAAUGUUAGUGCCUUAUCGAGAGAGUUACUAUGAAAACCUGCUGCUAGACUUAGGUGCCCGACCUCUUAUUGCUUUCAUUUAGCAUGCCCGUCAACUGGCCCCUACGCCUUAAGGUUUAGUCCUAGGCAUGUGCUUGGAAGGAUUUGUGAUUAUCAUCUAGGCAAGAAGGUUGGUGAUCUUUUAUUUUGCAUAUCAAUGAAAGGAAGCUCGUGGGUAUUCUGCUUUUUCUCUUUUGCCUUUCUCCUCUGCUUGACUGUGGAAACCGUGAGAGUCCUACUAUUAUUUCAUUUUUCACUUUAUGUUUAUGUUGUCCAUGCUCUUCAAAUAGAUUGAGAAUGUCGUUGAGUAGUUUUUCUUUCUGAGAACUGUUUUUCCAACGCAAUAGUAACAAUCACUUUGUGUUUCCCCUUUACUAAUUUCACUGUUACACCUGCAACCUUAAGGGACUUAGCUUCAAAGCACUUGCAUUAGUUAAGGUUGACGCAAGCCGAAAUAGUCAAUUUUGUCUUCCACUGUCAAAAGUUGGUCACGUGUUCUAAAUUUAGUAAAAAAGGUGGUUGUUAGAUUAAAACUACAACCUCAAUUUAGGCCUCUUUCAAUCGAUAUAGUACAUCACUAUAUCAGUUGCAAAAUUUUUUGGCAUCCUGUUAGCGGAAAUCUGAAUGUUCAACCUUCAUUAUAUAUUUUCAGAAGAAGGAAAGUAUAUUUUAUGUUCCUCCUAAAUGAAACAAAGACAAAAAAAAAUGGCUUAAAGUGUGAUUUACAUUACUUGUUACACUAUAGAUGUGGGUGCGAAACUCAAGAACAUUAUAAAUAGACACUUGUUUGGUAUUUUUCUUUAUGAGCAACUCCAAAAUACCGAUCUUUGCUAUUAUAUUCCUUUUCCAACUACCCAUCUAUCCUAAGGCACCAGUUGUGCAUGAUCCAACACUCAACCAAAAGGGUCAUACUAAUUCCUUUAUUUUUGUUGGCAAGACACGAUACAAAAUGGAACUGCUGAGGCAGUUAUCUGCAAUUCCAAGAUUGUCAAGUUGAUGAAAGUUAUCUUCCCAGAAAAAAUUAAGCACCAUGAAGAUAAUAUCAAAUUCUUGGAGACUCAGAAGAACAGAUUAUAUGAUUAAAUUUUAGACGUACGAGGCACUGUUUCCUUCUUUUCAAGUUAAUUCAGUGUUCAAAAAAAUUCAUGUGCAAGAUUUUAAAAGGUCACUACAGUUAUUUUGUUCUUUCAGUAUCCUAGAAUAUAAUGCUUUUACUCGGUCUUUGUGGAAGGGAACAGUCAAACUGUAAUGACCUGCUAAGUCGUUAUGGGGGGUGACUUAGUAAACUAGACUUCCGUGGGAAAUUUCAAGGCCGCGGGUGAGUCUGCAACGUGUUUUUAUGUAUAUGUGCAUGUUUAGUUUGUGUCUGUAGGCCUCGGAUUGGUGUUGGGAUUUUUGGGUGAAAAACUGGUGGAAAAACCCGAACUACUGAUCAAAAUGGACCGCUGCAGCGGCUGUGGGACCGCUGUAGCAAGUUCAUCGUAGCGGGUAGUAGAUCGCCGCCGCGGGGCGGGAAAAGUUAAUGAGGUCCUCCAUAGCGGAAGGUUUAUAGCGAGACCGUUGCAGCAAGACAUCGGCCGCUGCAACGGUCGAUGGGCGACAGAAUCAGAGUUUUAUAUUCUUAUGUCUGAACCCAUUGCCCACAUAACUCCAAAAAAGUUCCCAAGAAUUCUUGUGGCGAAAUUCUAAGGCUAGGGCUAAGAUACUCUUGAAAGGUAAGUCUCAACCCUCUACUUUGUUCAUUCCCUCAUUACAUUAAGUUCCAUGAUUAGUUUAAGGUUCGUUAAUGGCGUAUGAAAGGACUAAAGCCCUAGCAUUUAAGAAACCCUUGAAUAAUGAAUGGGUUAAUGAUUUUAUUGUUGUUUAUUCAUCUAGGAGUAUAGAUUAUCACUUCCUAGGAUGAGAACUUGAUUAUUAAUUGUGAGAAUUAUUGAUUGAGACUUAGGGUUCCAAUAAAAAUGGAAGUUUUAGCCUAAAAAUUGAUUGAAAGAGGUUGAAUUGAUUAGAAAACCCAUGAAUGGGGAUAAUAUGAUGGUUGGGGUUGAUUUUACGAUGAAUUCACCCUUAGUGAUAGUUCAUCCAUUUGAAAAGGAUAGAAGUAGUUGGGUUCUCUUCCCCAAAAUUGUUUUUUGUAUGAGUAGAUGAUCCAUUAUUCACUUAGCGUUAUGAUUGCUAGACUUUGAACGUUCUGAAGCUUUGCGAAAGAAGAAAGCUAUUGCGGAGUGAUUGCAUUGUCCCAGUUCGGCUUUGAGGUAGGUUAAGGUCUACUUAAUUUAUACUUUGAUUAGUUGAUUGUAUAUGUUAUGAAAUUGAUAGGAGAAACAUGGUUAGGGCUUCAGACAUAAAGUGUGGUUGGAAAUUCCUAUGUUUGAUAUUGAUUGGUUGAUUAUGUGAUUAACUAUUAUAAUAUAUUAAAGACGGAGUUAAUGAAUACUCUUCUUGUUGACUUGGAGUAAUCCCUUGUCCAUGCUUUUGAUGAAUUGAUUCUUGAGUCUUGAUAUGACUUGUGGCAUGGUGAGUUAUGUUAUUUGAUAAUGAUGCAUUAAUUGUUCACAUUCCUAAUUGAUUGUGGAAUGGAAGUACAUUGUGAUGAGAAAGACAAUAUAAAUAUGAAAAGACACAAUUGACAGGAGGUGAGGAUGUGGCCUAGUUAAGGGCUCGUGAUCCGAGGUCAGUUCUGGAGCAAGUGGUACAUGGACACCAUGGGUUCCCAGCAGGUCAUAACUAUAUGGGGAAAAUAAUACCAUUUAGCAUGUGUGUACACGGUUGAGAUACUUUUAUUAUGUAUUGCAUUGCAUCGGACUCAUGGCUAUUUGAUAUUUGGCACAAAUAUCGUGUCAUUUUACAUCCCAUUCUUAAGACUUUUAUCGCCUAAUCUAUGAUGAAAUCGUCAAAUUUGAGCUUAUGUCACUAUAUUUCACGUGUCUAGGUACGAUGAAGACAAACGACGGGAAACCGAGCAGUUUUGGUUGAUUCUGGAGGUGACCUUAUAUGCACGAGUGAACGAGAGGAGCUUGCGAUACUUAGGAGAAUUUCUAGAAGGAUUGAGCACAAAUGUGCCAGCCCCAGGUCGCGGGUCCAUGACGGGAAAACCAGGCUGCGGAAUCUCGAAUUUGCAUGUCAUGCCCGCAUCGUGGGCUCAGCACAAAUAGGGGCUAAAAUCAUUGAACACACCGCAUUGGACCCGCGACGCUUGGCCAACGCGGGAAUGCCCAAUUUUGUCCGAUUUUAAUUAGGAUGAGGACCCUUUUAUUUGGUUAACAACCCUAAACUAUUAAUAAAUGCUUUGUUCGUUAUUAAUGACGUGUUGGGAUUAUUUCAAGACUUGUAAGCCGUCAUAUUACUUUCUCUUUAGAAUUUAUUUUAUUUUCAUCUUUUCAACCCUAGAUUAUUCAUGAAUUCUUGUUGUUCAUUGGGAAUCAUGAGUAGCUAAGCUCCUUAAUUCCAGGGUUGUGGCGAAAGACAUGAUAUUUGGUUUGGCGACACUUUCUAUAAAUUAAAUUUUCAUAUUUUGGGUUGCUUAUU